ensembl:rRNA 5S_rRNA 5S ribosomal RNA
GUCUAUGGCCAUACCUCCCUGAAUGAGCCCGAUCUCAUCUGAUCUCAGAAGCUAAGCAGAGUUGGGUCUGGUUAGUACUUGGAUGGAAGACCACUUAGGAAUAUCAGGUACUGUAGGUG